CCAAUAGCGUAUAUUAAAGUUGUUGCAGUUAAAAAGCUCGUAGUUGAAUUUCGGCGUUUGUCGGUUGGUCAUGCCUCUGGUAUGUACUGGUCUCACUGAUUCCUCCUUCCUGAUGAGCCGUAAUGCCAUUAAUUUGGUGUUGCGGGGAAUGUGGACUGUUACUUGGAAAAAAUUAGCGUGUUUAAAGCAAGCUAACGCUUGAAUACAUUAGCAUGGAAUAAUGAAAUAGGACGUUCGAUCCUAUUUUGUUGGUUUCUAGGAUUGACGUAAUGAUUAAUAGGGAUAGUUGGGGGCAUUAGUAUUCAAUUGUCAGAGGUGAAAUUCUUGGAUUUAUUGAAGACUAACUACUGCGAAAGCAUUUGCCAAGGAUGUUUUCAUUAAUCAAGAACGAAAGUUAGGGGAUCGAAGACGAUCAGAUACCGUCGUAGUCUUAACCAUAAACUAUGCCGACUAGGGAUCGGAUGAUGUUGAUUUUUUAAUGACUCAUUCGGCGCCUUACG
rnacentral:rRNA from 1 species